ACCCACAGCCACCCUGGGAGUGCCAAUGUCAGUGCCAGCCUGUUUCCUGCUCCCAGAAAGACCAGUUCUAAGAGGGAAAAGGGCCGGCAGUCUUUGAAAACUCGUUCUUUCCCAUGGUUUAUGAAAGCUGCCAAUGACAAACCUGCCAACUGCAAAGGAAGGUUCUUGUUUGCUGGGCACUACCAGAACGAAGGAAAAGAAAAAAUGACGAAAACCAAACAGAACCCUAGGGGAUUGUAAGACCUGGAGUCAACCAGCACACCAGGAAAGUAGCCUCACUGCAGCAUUGUAAUGGGCCCACACACCCUGAAAACACGGAGGAGGAAGAAAUAAGUGAAGGCUACUUUUCCCAAGUUGCAGAACUCAGCAAGGACUCUGAGGCACACUCUUCAGUAGUCUGACCCAGCCUUCAAGUUCUGGUUCUGAUCACGGAGAUAAUUCGUUUUCCAAAAAUUACUUUGAAAAUACUUGGAACUAUGACAUAAAGGCUUGAAAAAGAACAAAAGCAUUGUGUCUUCAGCAAACUGGCACCUACACAGUCCUGCAAUAAACACGAUGGACCAGCUGGGCAGUGUAAAAGCAACGUGUUCCCUCUAUAAAGUGCUCCUUCCGGGUGCAGCAGCCACAGUGCCAGGG